UACGGAGGGUGCAAGCGUUAAUCGGAAUUACUGGGCGUAAAGCGCGCGUAGGCGGUUAGGUAAGUCAGAUGUGAAAGCCCCGGGCUCAACCUGGGAACUGCAUUUGAUACUGCCUGACUAGAGUAUGGUAGAGGGGGGUGGAAUUCCCGGAGUAGCGGUGAAAUGCGUAGAUAUCGGGAGGAACACCAGUGGCGAAGGCGGCCCCCUGGACCAAUACUGACGCUGAGGUGCGAAAGCGUGGGGAGCAAACAGG
rnacentral:rRNA from 1 species